GCCAAUAGAUAGAAAAACAAGGGGCUCAUCCAUCCCCUCCACAUCAAAUCCAGUUUUUUCUCCACGUCUCCUGCUUAACUUGGGGACCCAAACUGACAUGACAUAUUAUAUGGACAUAACUGGCUCCUGACAUUAUCUUCUUUACUUCAAAGGAGCUGGACAGGAAGUGGGUAUGCAUUAAUUUGAUCAGAGGAUCAGUGCUGGGGGCGGGGAGAGGAGGGUGUUUAACCCCUUCUUUCCUGGCCAUUUCCCUGCUGUAGAUCCCACCUGCCCAACAUGCUGCCAUCGGCUGAUAUCUUGUAUAGCACCUCGGUGGUAUUUUUUUAUAUAAAAAAAAAAAAUGGAAAGCCAAAAUCAAUUAAUUAAAGUGCAUAGAAGGUCUGGGGUACAUGCAUCAGUAGAACCACUAAUCAUAGAAUCAUAGAGUUGGAAGAGACCACAAGGGCCAUCGAGUCCAACCCCCUGCCAAGCAGGAAACACCAUCAGAGCACUCCUGACAUAUGGUUGUCAAGCCUCUGCUUAAAGACCUCCAAAGAAGGAGACUCCACCACACUCCUUGGCAGCAAAUUCCACUGUCGAACAGCUCUUACUGUCAGGAAGUUCUUCCUAAUGUUUAGGUGGAAUCUUCUUUCUUGUAGUUUGGAUCCAUUGCUCCGUGUCCGCUUCUCUGGAGCAGCAGAAAACAACCUUUCUCCCUCCUCUAUGUGACAUCCUUUUAUAUAUUUGAACAUGGCUAUCAUAUCACCCCUUAACCUCCUCUUCUCCAGGCUAAACAUGCCCAGCUCCCUUAGCCGUUCUUCAUAAGGCAUCAUUUCCAGGCCUUUGACCAUUUUGGUUGCCCUCCUCUGGACACGUUCCAGAGGAAUAUAAUAACUCCAUUUGCAUCAGAUAGACCAAAUCCAUACCCAACCUCUGCAUGUUUAACACAUGAUCUGAAGGGGAAGUCAUAAGUGUGUUGGCCUGAUUGUGAUUAAUAACCUCCUUGUUAAAGUGCCAAAUAUCUGAAGCAUAUCUGGCAGGAUUUUGCUGAAACCGUGACUAUUCACAACUUUAGACUGACCAUAUUGCAUAGCUCAUACAUAAAGGGCACCCAGAUAGGCUCUGCAGAGAAUCCUGUUGGUGAGAUACAGGACAACAUUUCCUGCAUCUCAAUGCUUCUGAUUUUAGACUUGUGGACACAUUGCACUAAACACAGGUACACACUCCCUCGACAUGGGUAUAAGUUGUGUGACAGGUGAUGCACCUGUUGCUUUGUACGGUUCAACAGUUCUGUGCACAGGUACACAGACUGUGUAAUUGCUGAAUGUUACAUGUGAACAUAGAAUCAUAGAAUCAUAGAAUCAUAGAGUUGGAAGAGACCACAAGGGCCAUCGAGUCCAACCCCCUGCCAAGCAGGAAACACCAUCAGAGCACUCCUGACAUAUGGUUGUCAAGCCUCUGCUUAAAGACCUCCAAAGAAGGAGACUCCACCACACUCCUUGGCAGCAAAUUCCACUGUCGAACAGCUCUUACUGUCAGGAAGUUCUUCCUAAUGUUUAGGUGGAAUCUUCUUUCUUGUAGUUUGGAUCCAUUGCUCCGUGUCCGCUUCUCUGGAGCAGCAGAAAACAACCUUUCUCCCUCCUCUAUGUGACAUCCUUUUAUAUAUUUGAACAUGGCUAUCAUAUCACCCCUUAACCUUCUCUUCUCCAGGCUAAACAUGCCCAUCUCCCUUAGCCGUUCCUCAUAAGGCAUUGUUUCCAGGCCUUUGACCAUUUUAGUUGCCCUCCUCUGGACACGUUCCAGUUUGUCAAUGUCCUUCUUGAACUGUGGUGCCCAGAACUGGACACAGUACUCCAGGUGAGGUCUGACCAGAGCAGAAUACAGUGGCACUAUUACUUCCCUUGAUCUAGAUGCUAUACUCCUAUUGAUGCAGCCCAGAAUUGCAUUGGCUUUUUAGCUGCCGCGUCACACUGUUGGCUCAUGUCAAGUUUGUGGUCAACCAAGACUCCUAGAUCCUUUUCACAUGUACUGCUCUCAAGCCAGGUGUCACCCAUCUUGUAUUUGUGCCUCUCAUUUUUUUGCCCAAGUGCAAUACUUUACAUUUCUCCCUGUUAAAAUUCAUCUUGUUUGUUUUGGCCCAGUUCUCUAAUCUGUCAAGGUCGUUUUGAAGUGUGAUCCUGUCCUCUGGGGUGUUAGCCACCCCUCCCAAUUUGGUGUCAUCUGCAAAUUUGAUCAGGAUGCCCUUGAGUCCAUCAUCCAAGUCGUUGAUAAAGAUGUUGAAUAAGACCGGGCCCAAGACAGAACCCUGUGGCACCCCACUAGUCACUCUUCUCCAGGAUGAAGAGGAACCAUUGAUGAGCACCCUUUGGGUUCGGUCAGUCAGCCAGUUACAAAUCCACUGAGUGGUAGCAUAGUCAAGACCACAUUUUACCAGCUUCUUUACAAGAAUAUCAUGAGGCACCUUGUCAAAUGCCUUGCUGAAAUCAAGGUAGGCUACAUCCACUGCGUUCCCUUCAUCUACCAGGCUUGUAAUUCUGUCAAAAAACGAGAUCAGGUUAGUCUGACAUGACUUAUUUUUCAGAAAUCCAUGCUGACUAUUGGUGAUCACAGCAUUCCUUUCUAGGUGCUCACAGACUGUUUGCUUAAUGAUCUGCUCCAGAAUCUUCCCUGGUAUUGAUGUCAGACUGACUGGGCGGUAAUUAUUUGGGUCCUCUCUUUUCCCCUUUUUGAAAAUAGGGACAACAUUUGCCCUCCUCCAGUCUGCCGGGACUUCGCCUGUUCUCCAGGAAUUCUCAAAGAUGACUGCCAGUGGUUCUGAGAUCACAUCUGCCAGUUCUUUUAAUACUCUUGGAUGCAGUUCAUCUGGCCCUGGAGACUUGAAUACAUCUAAACUAGCCAAGUAUUCUUGUACUAUCUCCUUAGUUAUUCUGGGCUGUGUUUCCUUUGCUGAAUCAUUUGCUCCAAAUUCUUCAGGUCGGGCAUUGUUUUCUUUAUCGGAGAAGACUGAGGCAAAGAAGGCAUUGAGGAGUUCAGCUCUUUCUGUGUCCCCUGUUUGCAUUUCACCAUCUUCUCCUCUGAGUGACCCCACUGUUUCUUUGUUCUUCCUUUUGCUACGGACAUACCCAUAAAAGCCUUUUUUGUUGCUUUUAACCUCUCUAGCAAGCCUGAGUUCAUUCUGUGCUUUAGCUUUUCUGACUUUGUGUCUACACGUGCUGGCUAUUUGUUUGAAUUCCUCUUUGGUGGUUUCCCCCCUUUUCCAUUUUUGUACACAUCCUUUUUUAAUCUUAACUCAGUUAAAAGUUCUUUAGAUAGCCACCCUGGCUUCUUUAGGCACCUUCCAUGUUUCUGUCUCAUUGGUAUUGCCUGACGUUGUGCUUUUAGUAUCUCCCUCUUAACAAACUCCCAGCCAUCAUGAACUCCCUUUCCUUUUAGUAUUACUGUCCAUGGGAUCUCACCCAGCACUUCCCUAAGUUUUAUGAAGUCGGCUUUCUUAAAGUCAAGAAAUUGAGUCCUAGUAUGCUUGGCUGCUCCUUCCCGCUGUAUAGUAAACUUCAGAAGAGCAUGAUCACUCGCGCCUAAUGAUCCUUCCACUUCUACCCCACUAACCAGGUCAUCAACAUUGGUUAGGACCAGAUCUAAAAUGGCUGUUCCUCUUGUUGCUUCUCCCACUUUCUGGACAAUGAAGUUGUCUGCAAGGCCAGUGAGGAAUCUGUUUGACCUUAUGCUCUUGGCUGAGUUUGACAUCCAACAAAUAUCCGGGUAAUUGAAGUCCCCCAUUACUACUAUCUCCCUUCCUUUUGCAUGCUUGGCCAUCUGUUCCAGGAAGGCAUCAUCUAUGUCCUCCGUUUGGCUUGGGGAUCUAUAGUAAACUCCCACAAUGAGGUCACUGUUAUUCUUCUCUCCCUUAAUUUUGACCCAAAUGCUCUCACUUUGGCUUUGAGGUUCUAAAUCUUGGAUCUCUUCACAGGUAUACACAUCCCUGACAUAUAACACCACUCCUCCUCCUUUCUUGUCUGGUCUGUUUCUCUGAAAUAGAUUGUAUCCCCCCAUUAUUACAUUCCAAUCGUGGGACUUAUCCCACCAGGUUUCAGUGAUGCCUAUUAUGUCAUAUUUAGUUUGCUGUACCAAGAGUUCAAGCUCAUCUUGUUUAUUUCCCAUGCUUUGCGCAUUAGCGUACAGACAUUGAAGUCCAUUAAUCAUUCCCCCGUGACUCUUAUUUAAGGAUUUUUUCCUCCCACCACUAGGUCUGUGUGCUGUUUGCUCCAUUUGGUCUAUGACAUUUGGAUGAUCAUCUUCAUCAAUUGAUAGACUCCUACCUUCAGGAGCACUGUCUCCCUCCCCACAUUAGUCAGUUUAAAGCCCUCCUGAUGAGGUUUCUGAGAUUUUUGGCAAAAACAUUUCUCCCAACCGUUGUGAGGUGCAGCCCAUCGCUUGCCAGAAGUCCAUCUUCAAGAAACUGCAGCCUGUGAUCUAAGAAUCCAAACCGUUCCUGUUUACACCAUUUGCGAAGCCAGCUGUUCACUUCCACUAUUUUCCCCUCUCUCCCUGGGCCACGUUGUUCAACUGGGAGGACAGAUGAGAUCACAAUUUGUGCAUUUAAUUGCUUCAAUUUCCUGCCCAGAGCCUCGUAGUCUCUUUUGAUCUUCUGGAGGCUAUUGCUUGCAGUGUCAUUGGUUCCCACAUGAACCAAGAGGAAGGGGUAUUUGUCAGUGGGUUUUAUGAUUCCUUGCAGUCGUUCAGUUACAUCUUGGAUCUUAGCCCCGGGGAGACAGCACACUUCCCGAGACAUCUUGUCAGGCCCACAGAUCACUGCUUCUGAUAGGUGUCCAAGUAAAGUCGUACCUUGGUUCUCAAACGGAAUCCAUUCCAGAAGUCCGUUCGACUUCCGAAAAUGUUCGAGAACCAAGGCGCAGCUUCUGAUUGGCUGCAGGAGAUUCCUGAACUCAAUUGGAAGCUGCAAAAGCAGUGUCGGAUAUUUGGGUUCCAAAGAACGUCCGCAAACCAGAACACUCACUUCCGGGUUUGUGGCAUUCGGGAGCCAAAACAUAUGAGUACCAAGACAUUUGACAACCAAGGUAUGGCUGUAUACUGCUCUACAAUUUGUGUAGACAGUUACAAUUGUACACACUUUGACUGCAACACCCCUAAGCCAUCUAAUCAUUUUUUCUUCAAAUCAGUGAAACUGGCUACCAUCUCUUCUUGUGGUUGGUAGUUCCACAGGCCAGCAGCUUCUAUAUGCACUUGCAUUCAUGCGCAUGUUUUAAAUGGGGCCGUUGCUAAUCCAACCCAUUUUUUGUGAUAUUGUUGUUCAAAAAAUUGUGGCUACCGGGGCAUCAGGCAUAGAGGAAAUAUCGCCCCACCCCCAUGCCACUAUAGUGUUGGAUUUUUACGCUCUUAGGGCGAAAUUUUGUCAAAUAAAUAAAUAAAUGCUCUCCCUUCCAGUGGGAUGGCUUUGUAACCUGAUGGAUUUCAAGUGGAAGAACCUGAAGUUGAAAGAGCGUGAGUUUUUUUUUUUCCUUCAAAAAAAGGGGCUGCUUUUGAACAGCUAACAAGUUUAAGGGAACAAUUUACGUGAUUACCUGGAGUUACAGUUAGAUGAAAGAAAGAUGUUUCCCCAUUUAAUAUCUCGACAGGGAUAAUAAGCAGAUCAAAGGUCUGAGCAAAGAAUCAGCAGAUACAGUCUCUUGUUGAUGCCUGCAACAUAAAUGCUAGAAGGGGCAAUCUGUUUUAGUUAUGCUUUUGAGUACACGUUAAAUCUAAUUUUAGUGCACAAUAAAAAUGAAUGGUCCGCUUUCAAAGGCACUGCAUCUGCUGAGUACAAGUUUCCAUGCCAGAUGGUUUUUGUAUUUUGUUUUGUAGUUGUUUUGCAUUCUGCUAAUUCUCACCCUAUAGUGCAACAUGGUGAAGUUGACACACUUAAAAUGACCUUGCAGUGAGGAUUCUCAAUCUCAUGGUGACUAUUUUUUUUUUUUUUGGUAAAAAAAGGAGCAACCUUUCAGACCCCCAUGGUGAACAGUAAUAGCUCUCUUUCCUUAUAUACUUCUUUCUUACAGCCGCAUUGUUGAGUUGAUUCAUUGGUUAGAUGCAUCUAUUUAAAACCUUGUGAUCAGUUAAAAAGGAGCUCGUGGUUAAUCAUGGUACAGUAAAAAUAUCUUUUGAAAUGAGAAAAGAGGAAAGCAGAGAGACACACACACAGAGAGAGAAAUACAUGGGGCCGCCUCUGAAGAUGGUUCAGCUGGUGUAGAAUUCAGUGGCCAGGCUGCUCCCUGGGUUUGAGAAUACAGCACCAAUCCUGGUCCAACUGCACUGGCUGUAACUUAGUUUCCGUAGCCACGUCAGUGUGCUAGUUUUGACCUAUAAAGCCUCAAGGACUGCCUUUCUCCAUAUGAACCAACCCGGAUCCUACAAUCAUCAUCCUAGGUACUUCUUUGUGUGCCUCCUCUCCAAGAGGUCUGGAGCAUUAAGUAUAAUUGGUUUAAUUGACACUGAAAUGGUGAAUGCCUGUGUAAUGGUGAAAAUGUUUAACAUGGGGAGAAUCCAUUGAAGCUAAAUUAAGAGCAAGAAUGGAACUCUGGGCUUUAACUGAGUUGAUAAUUAACUGUUGAAUGUAUUCUGCUACCUGACACGUGAGUGUUUAACCUUAGAUCACAUGGGAGGCUAUUGAAUUGCAAAGCACCAUUCUGAAGGGAGUUGCCUUUAGUUCUUUGUCCCCAGGCUCCAUGGAGUAAGGAUGUAAAUCAAGGUCUCCAGGAAAACAGCUCCAGGCAAAAUGAAUGCUGUAAGGAGGGAGACUUUUGCUUAUACAUCUGUUUGGAGCAUUUCAUAUUUUGUAAGAUGUUGAGUCUAUGUGCUGGACUAGCAUAUGCUUUAUGGAACUGUUUGGAUAUAUCAUUUACUGUUUUUUGUUAUGUUUUGAAGAAGGUUCUGCAAAUAGAGUUUUCAUUAAACUUGUGGGCCUUGACAAUGUUUUAUUUCCAAAAAGGAGUCAGUUUUUAUGAAUCCAAUCAUUUCAAACUAUGCAGUACAGUGGUACCUCAGGUUAAGAACUUAAUUUGUUCUGGAGGUCCGUUCUUAACCUGAAACUGUUCUUAAUCUGAAGUACCACUUUAGCUAAUGGGGCCUCCUGCUACAGCCAUGUGAAUUCUGUUCUCAUCCUGAAGCAAAGUUCUUAACCCGAGGUACUAUUUCUGGGUUAGCAGAGUCUGUAACCUGAAGCACCUGUAACCCGAGGUACCACUGUAUUAAUAUUUGCAAUAUGGAGAGCAGCAAUGCAAGAAUAGGCCUUUUUCUGCAGUGGCUCCUGUUUGUGCAAUGCUCUCCCGAGGAAGUCUCACUUGGUGUCUUGCCUUGGUAUUGUUCUUGUUGCUUUCGACCUGCAAAUGAAACAUAACUGUUUGUUUUCCCCACCCCUGCCACUUGCAUUUUUUUUCCUUUUACAAUGAAAUCAGUGGAAUGGAAGAGUAACUUUUGUGAUUCACACAAUUAUUUACUUAACUCAUGUAAAUCACAUUUCACCACAGUGGACAGAAAGAUGAAUAAUGUGGUUUUGGGUAGAAUAUGAACUGCAGCAGAAGAGAAAUAGUGCUGCGUGAAGCAAACACAUGCUGCAACGGAAAAUGGUGCCUUUCAUAUACCCUAAUCUUUAAUAUCAUCAUAUUUCUAUGGAUUGCUGGGGAUGUUCUUAUAUACAAAAGUAAAUUCUGUGCAAAUCAGCUCUGUGGGAAUGUGGUAUUUCUGUAUGUCUUCAAAGCUCUUUAGAUUCUGAGAGGCGAAGAGACCUUUAUAAACCAUUAACAUCCUUAAAACAUUGUGGGUUUCCUUUCCUUUUAUUUUAUUUUUUUUGGUUUGCACAGAAUUUUCUUGGAACUUUCAGCAGGAGAUGGUGUUUCUGACAUUUAAGCCUGAAACCACUUAAAUAAAUACAAGCUAAAUGAACACAUUUUAUUGCCCCAGUGUAAACAGUAUAUAAUCCCAGAAAAUUUUCCUUGGCUGCUUCGCCUCUCCCCAUAUGCAGCAGCAAAUUUUAUGGCAUAAACAGCCAAGAUAUAUUAGUGUGUCCCAGGAAGCUACCAGUGGUUUACUACAGUUGCCAUAGCAAUGGUAAAACAACUUGGCUGAUGGCGUGGAAAACUAUUUGUACAAAGAGCUAGCUUUGCUUUUGUUCCUUUUGUUCCUUUGGUCUUAUGUUCUGUGUUAACAUGCUCCUUUAAAUUGCUUUAUAAUCAGCUUCUAGGAAUGAUACAUUUUUAGGGGUUGCUGGAUUUGCAAAGGAAAACGUUUUGGUGAUAUGGCAAGUUGCUGUCAUACCUUUGAACAAUGAUUAAUGCUCAAGCUACAUUCUUUUCCCUUGCCUUUCCCAUGAGCAAUUGUAAGUUUAUCAAUAAAAAUAAAACCUUCUUUGGAAUAUACGUCCUUUUACCAUAAUAAUAAUAAUAACAAUUUUUUAUUUAUAUCCCACCCUCCCCAGCCGAAGCCGGGCUCAGAGCGGCUAACAACAGCAAAAUAAUACAGCAUUCUAAAAUCAAUUCAUUAUAAAAUCAGUUCAAAUCAAAUUGAUGGCAACCAUUGGCCUAUAGUUCUGUGAAGAAUUACCAAAGGAGGGGGUCAGGCUGUGCCUUGGCCAAAGGCCUGGUGGAAUAGCUCUGUCUUGAAGGCCCCAUGUCAAGUCCCGCAGGGCCCUAGUCUCUUGUGACAGAACAUUGCACCAGAUCGCAGCCACAGCCAAAAAAGCCCUGGCUCUGGUUGAGGCCAGCCUAACCUCUCUGUGGCCCGGGACCUCCAAGAUGUUUUUGUUUGAAGACCGUAAGGUCCUCCAUGGGACAUACCAGGAGAGGUGGUCCCGUAGGUAUGAGGGUCCUAGGUCGUAUAGGAAAUAUGGAUCAUGACCCAGUGGAUCAUGACCCAGAUUGGAUAUUGGUCUGCUUCUGAAUCCACAGUCCCGCCAAUUCUAGUAUGAGAGUUGCAACACUGUCUCUCUUCUGGUAAAAACUUUAUUCACCAUUUAAGAGUUCACAAAAAGUCCUCUGGGUAUCCCCCAUUCUGAAGCAGGGAUGGAAUGUUUGGGGAUGAGACAUGUACCUUCACAAAAAUGUAAGUCCUGGGGUAUAUUUCUCCACAGAGGCAGCCCAAUGUAUUUUUGCUGCCUGAAGCAGAACAGUAAAUGGUUCCCCCACCAACAUGGCAAAUGGUACCCAAGUCUGGUCAAGUUAUAUUGGCAGCUGAGGCAGAAAAUCCCCCCUCCCACCCUUGGAACUGCCUCCCCAAAAUACAAUGAGUAAACUGAAUAAUUAACCAUUUCCUGACCUUUUAUGACAACUAAAAUCAGAGCUUUCAGAGGCAGAGAGUUGAGAAUAAGAAGAAAGUGGACAGUUGGAAGGAAUUAAAUGUCAAGGGGGAGUCCUCUCCCAACUUUUAAACAUGCUGAAGGGGAUCACAAGAAAAUCCUUAGGUCAGUGGUGGAAUAGAUACUUUGUAUGCAGAAGUCCUAGGAAAAAUAAAUGGUCCCAAUACAAGGCUGCUUUCUAUGUGGAAGACUAGUGGGUGAUACCAUGUUCUCUGUCCCAGACACUGAAAAGGAUGGCACAGCUUAUAAAAUGUCUAUACAGAUCCUUUGCUGUGUAGCAUCCUAACUUUGCUUGUAGUGAUGGUGCUUUUGGACUGCAAAAUACAGGUACAGGUUGGGAGGCAAAGGACCGCUAACUGCAUAAUUGGGACCACUUAAUGUGCUCAUGUAACCUGGGUUUUCACUGGGCCAUUUCCAUGAGUAAUAGCCUAACUAAAUAGUGUGGAAUUAUAGCAGGGUUAAGACACUUUCUUUAUGAUGAAUCUAAGUCAUUUCUAAAACAGAGUGACCCAUUUUACUGAGAUCACUGAGUUGGAAAUGGAAGUUGAUUCUUUUGUGUUAGGGAGUGCUCUGUUUGACUUGAAAAUGAGAAGCAAUUUAAUGUUCUGAGUUCACAUAUUGAGCUCACAGGGUAAAACCAUUUGUAUAUUGUGAGCUAAUUAACUUCAGCACACACACACAUCACUAGAAAAAGCAACCCAGCUCCUGUGGCACAAUGUCAGCGUGAUAUUUGACCACGCAUUCAUACUUUUCUUUUUCUCACCUCCUGCAGAAAUAGCCUCUGCAGGAAACCCUCCAUUACAAUUUGAAGCAUUAAAUCACCACCAUCAUGGGAUUAAAUUCAGAGUGUUAUUACCAGUGUGGUGUUGCAGCUAGUGUUAGAAGAAGAUCUCAGAGAGCUGGAAUCCAAAUCCCUGACGCUCAGUGGACAAGUCAUUAUCGAACUUUAGCUCACAGGAAUGUUGUGGACGUAAGAAAAUGAAACAAAACAGGGGUUGAAAAAGCAUACACUAUUAGGGUUGCCAGACCGCCAGGCCUCACCUAAAGCCUGCUGGUGGCAGAUGAAGGGCUUGCAUCUCCAGGUGGGUGACAGUCCCUUUAAUAAUGGAAAGAAAACAUAUUAAGACUAAGCAUAUAGCUUGUAAGCUUCAGCCCAGUAGGACCUGGCUGAAAAUUAUAGCAUAGACAUUUGGGGUCCAGGGGGUCUACCUUCCACUCCCUUCUCCCAAUUACCCUCCAUCUCCAGGGCCUGCCCUUUUGACAUCUCCAGGGGCCACCCCUAUGUCUCAGGUUUGGGUCCUGACACCUCAAGGAUCCCACACACUGUAUUCUUGUUACCUCAGGCUAAAUACUUUGGAAAUGUGUUUCUCAAAGUAGAAUGUCAUCCUGCCUUGUGGACAUAACUUGGGAAGACAGGCAAACUAAUAUCAGUGUACUUGAAGAAGCAAAGAUCACCAGUGUUGAAGCAAGAAUUCUUCAACAUCAACUUUGUUGGACUGGUCAUGUUGUGCAGAUGCCUGAUGACCGUCUUCCAAAGCAACUACUCUUUUCCCAACUGAAAAUUGGAAAGCGUAAUGCUGGCGGUCAACAAAAGAGGUUUAAAGACUGUUUCAAAGCAUAUUUAAAAAAAUUUAGUAUAAACACUGACAACUGGGAAACACUGGCCUGCGAGCGCUCCAGUUGGAGAACAGCCUUUACCAAAGGUGCCAUGGGCUCUGAAGACACUCAAACUCAGGACACAAGGGAGAAAUGUGCUAAGAGGAAGGCAUGCUUGGCAAAUCCACACCGUGAUCAACUCCCUCCUGGAAACCAAUGUUCCCACUGUGGAAGGACGUGUGGAUCCAGAAUUGGCCUCCACAGUCACUUACAGACUCAUUGUUAAAACCGUGUUUAUAGAAGACAAUCUUACUCGGCUACGAGUGAUCGCCAAAGAAGAAGAAGAUUGCUCUAUCUAGCCUUAGCACCGGCUGCUCCGACAUGUCAGCAGAUCUCAUAGGUUUUAGGCGGAAGAAGUUCCCAGCACCACUCUUUGAGAUCAUUUGGACUAGGUGGUCCUCGGAUCCUUUCCAAUUCUAUGAUUCUAUGAUUGCUUUAAAAUAUAGAUGCAUGGAUCAGAUCUGUGUUCUUGUGCACAUGCUGAGCUGAAAGGUCCCUGUCUUCUGUUGCCAUCCUGAGGAUCAUGGAAGUGCUGCUGCAAAUGGCAGCUCAGAGUUCAUGAAUGACACCUUCAGAGCAAUAUAGUAGUGACUCUUGGCUAGAUGUCCAGGAGAGCCUUGCUUUCAUAUUUCUCAAAGUCUGGUUGUAGAGGAUGCACUUUAGUGCUCUGCAUGUGGGAAAAAGCUUUAAAACACUUGAAUUUGUCUCCUGAAGACUACCAGAACUUCAGAAUCUCCUAAAUGUUUAGGCAGGGGCGAACUCCAGUCCCAAAUUACGUAGAAUGAAUGUCAUGACUGCACACAGGGAAGUGUUAUAUGUUUAAAACCAUGUGUGUGUUGUUUAGGGUCCCCCCCCCAACCAGAACCUGGUAGAACUCAGUUCUAACACCCCUUAGGUGGGUUCCAGUACCCCUCAAGUGGGUGCCUUUGCCAUUCCAUGAGAACAAGAGAGGUGUUCAUGGGGAGUUCUUUUUCUAGAAAAAUAGCACUGUUGUUAUUGUUAUCCUUCUGUCUUGAGACAAUGGAGGAAUGUGCUUUUUGGAGGUGAAGUCAAAGUCCUGGAAGUUUACAGCGCCUGCUGUGGCUAUAGAGACUGAUCUGGGAGAGACAUGUUUUGUUGCAGCUGGGGUAGAUGAAGGCAUCCAGUUGUGCUACUGCAGAUGCACCAUGGUAUUUCUCCUCCCAGCAGUCAUUCCUCCUCCGGUCACUGCUGUGGAUACACCUUAUCCCAUCAGGGAGAUGGCUCCAUUAAUCCUUUAUUUCUGGUGUUUUAAUUUUCUUCCAACAGGAGCUUUUUAUGUGGUUAGGGGGCCAUCAUAUAUAUGACCUCUCCCUACUUAUGCCAGGGGUUGCCAAUGUGGUGCCCAUGGGCACACAUGUGCCCAAAGAGGCCUUUCCUGGUGCCCACAGGGGGGGUGUCUUCUCUGCCCCUUGAUGAAAUAAUGUUUGAAACAGUUCUUUCACUUUGCAAAUGUGCCCCUGGGUCCCCAGAGGGUUUUGACCUCAGCUCUAUGCAAUGUUGUCUCUGAAUAAGCAUCCUCCCUGUUUCCUUUCAGCUUGACCUUGGAAGCAGGACGUAUGAGUGUCAGUGCUUGACGUACCUAUCAGAGAAACGAAUUGUGACUGAAAGCUGGCCAGAAAAAGAAAGAAAAGGGAAAGGAAAUAUCUUAUAUAUGCCAGCAACUCCAAAGGCAGAAUGACUGAGAACACAAGAUCAAGACAGAAGAUCAAAAGCCCCUUCUUUCCCUUGAAAUGUUAAGUCUCAGUGCACGAUUUCAGUGACCAUGAAUUGCCGUCAUUAGCACGUUGCUGACAAGAUAUCAGUGCUCUCACAUUUCUUUUAAAAAUCUCAAGCAUUUGACUGAUUGUGGUGCUAAUAAUAGUGUGACACAGUAAUUUUAUUGUCAGGGUUAUUCUCGGACGCGGUGCU
rnacentral:lncRNA from 1 species